AGUGAAUGAGAAUCCUCUGACAGAUCCUUCCACGUACAGUUAAUCUAUUCCCAAAAUGUUAUAGUCUGACAUUCAUGUGACCAAAUGCAGGGAAAAAAAACCAACCCAAAACAGAGCUGGAGAACAUUUUUCAUUAAUUGAAAACCAAUUCUCUGCUAGCUACUGUCAAAAGCAGCUUCUGGGUUGUUUUUCUCUUCAGAGAAGCGGCUGCUGGGACUUUGCCAGCUCAGCAGUUAAAGGUGAGAAAAACAAGAGGAUACAACAUCACUUACCAACAAUCCAUUAGUGUCACCUCUCAAAUUCUUCAGAUGUAAAGAAGUCACAGAGGGAACCAGAGGUGUAUUCCUUGAGGAAGAACAACUGUCAUCCCUGGAAUAUGUUCUGGAUGAGUCAAAGCAUAUCACAGGAGAAAACACACACAGUAGAAAACCAGACUAGUGAAGCCUGCCCCUACCUCACCACUCUACUAGUAUGGAAGACAAUAUUCUCAGCAAAGAAGAGAAGCAUAAGCUGUGAGUUGAGCCAUGGCUGAUGCAGUGCUGAUGCAGGCUGUCACAGCGUAUGUGGAUUUCUCCAGUAAGAUGCCGAGAGUAAUCACAGAACAAUACUGCCACUGGUUGAGGAAGCAGAGAUCAAGAUUUCUCCAAACUUCCAGACUUGGAAGAUCUGCUUGCACUACACGUAGGGUUUUCCCCUAGGAGAUGAUGUAACAAUGAAGAUAAUUGCUGGUUUGGUAUCACUGAGGAGAAUGUAGACAAAAAGUGGCAAUGAGCACUGAGGUGUUACACAUACAAUAAACUUUUGGCAUGAAUGAAUGGAAGGACCAGCUCCAGAAUGGGGUUCAACAACUCAGUUUUUACCAAAAAAUGUUGAUUGUAUUGUAUUUAGAACCAUCAUGAUAAAAGACAGCAGGAUCUGUGUGCAGAGCCUUCAAUGUCUACAUACUUGUGCUGAUACUAGGGUGCACUCCAAGUGAAAGUAAGAAGCUAUCCAUAUCUGCAAUAAACUUGCUUCUC